GGAUCGCCCUUCCUACGGGAGGCAGCAGUGAGGAAUACUGGACAAUGGGCGCAAGCCUGAUCCAGCCAUGCCGCGUGCAGGAUGACGGUCCUAUGGAUUGUAAACUGCUUUUGUACGGAACGAAAAGCCUUUCUCUAAUACAGGGAGGUCAUGACGGUACCGUAAGAAUAAGCACCGGCUAACUACGUGCCAGCAGCCGCGGUAAUAAGGGCGAUCCC
rnacentral:rRNA from 1 species